GGAUUAGAUACCCUGGUAGUCCUAGCUGUAAACGAUGGGUACUAGGCAACGGACGUCCGAUGCGUUCGUUGUCGAAGCUAAUGUGCUAAGUACCCCGCCUGGGGAGUACGGCCGCAAGGCUGAAACUCAAAGGAAUUGACGGGGGCUCACACAAGCGGUGGAGUAUGUGGUUUAAUUCGAAACAACGCGCAGAACCUUACCAGGGUUUGAAAUGCACGGAUUAGCCUCCUGAAAGGGAGGUGACGCCUUUUGGUGGAACGUGCACAGGUGUUGCAUGGCUGUCGUCAGCUCGUGCCG
rnacentral:rRNA from 1 species